rnacentral:ribozyme from 1 species
UGCCCAGCAACUCCGAUUCCUACCUACUCGUGGUAUUGGCCGGGGUACGAGUAACCUUAGGGACGAUCGGGUAACCGACCCUGGUGGGAAUUUUGGUCGUAUGCUGACAGGGAAGA